GACAGAGGAGCCAAGCGUUGUCCGGAUUGACUGGGCGUAAAGCGCACGCAGGCGGCUGCGCGCGUGGGGUGUGAAAUCUGGCCGCUUAACGGCCAGGCGCCAUCCCAUACGGCGCGUCUGGAGUGAUGCAGAGGUCGAUGGAAUUGCCGGUGUAGUGGUGAAAUGCGUAGAGAUCGGCAGGAACCCCAGGGGGAAACCAGUCGACUGGGCAUCUACUGACGCUGAGGUGCGAGAGCGUGGGGAGCGAACCGG
rnacentral:rRNA from 1 species